GGAUGUGAGGGGGACAACCUCUGCCACCCCAUCGAUGGCCAGGGUUGAUUUGGCCAAUCGGACUGACGAGGCAGGGGCGUCCCCUUCCUCCCUCACCGCCCCAUGUUCCUCCUGAAGCUGCAUGCUCAGCUGAAGAGGACAACUGCCCCUGACAGGACUGUUCCUCGGUCAGGGUAUACGAGUCGCUGCGCUCUCCUCCAGAUAGGCUCUCGCGAGAUCCGUGAGAGCGCCUCAUUCCUGGAUCUUAGCUAUCUGAAAUGUCUUCCUGCU
rnacentral:snRNA from 1 species